rnacentral:rRNA from 1 species
AGUGGCGGAAGGGCGAGUAAUGUAUGGAUAACGUACCCCAGGCACCGGGAUAGCAGCGGGAAACUGUUGGUAAUACCGGAUGAUGUUCCAAACCCCUUGGGGCUUGGAAUCAAAGGAUGGCCUCUACUUGUAAGCUAUCGGCGUGGGAGCGGUCCAUAUCCUAUCAGCUAGUUGGCGGGGUAACGGCCCACCAAGGCAACGACGGGUAGCGGGACUGAGAGGUUGACCCGCCGCAUUGGGACUGAGACACUGCCCAGACUCCUACGGGAGGCUGCAGUAACGAAUAUUGGACAAUGAGCGAAAGCUUGAUCCAGCGACGCCGCGUGCAGGAAGAAGUCCUUCGGGAUGUAAACUGCUGUCAGGGACCACCAAGCAAGGAAGGUUAAUACCCUUCUGCGUUGAGGACUCCCAGAGGAAGCCACGGCUAACUUCGUGCCAGCAGCCGCGGUAAUACGAAGGUGGCGAGCGUUGUUCGGAAUCACUGGGCUUAAAGCGUGUGUAGGCGGACUGUCAAGCGUUUUGUGAAAGCCCUCGGCUUAACCGGGGAAUUGCUUGACGAACUGAUAGUCUUGAGGCAGGUAGGGGCAACUGGAACUCUUGGUGGAGCGGUGGAAUGCGUAGAUAUCAAGAGGAACGCCAGAGGCGAAGGCGAGUUGCUGGGCCUGUCCUGACGCUGAGACACGAAAGCCAGGGGAGCGAACGGGAUUAGAUACCCCGGUAGUCCUGGCCCUAAACGAUGUCCACUAGAUCGGAGGCACUCUGACGUGUUUCUGGUCGAAAUGAAAACGGUAAGUGGACCGCCUGGGGAGUACGGUCGCAAGGCUAAAACUCAAAGGAAUUGACGGGGGCUCACACAAGCGGUGGAGCAUGUUGCUUAAUUCGAUGCAACGCGAAGAACCUUAUCCUAGGCUUGACAUAUACGAAUGCCUACUGGGAAACCAGGUCGGCUGCCCUUCGGGGUGAAACGUAUACAGGUGCUGCAUGGCUGUCGUCAGCUCGUGUCGUGAGAUGUUGGGUUAAGUCCCGUAACGAGCGAAACCCUUGUCGUUAGUUGCCAGCGCGUAAUGGCGGGGACUCUAACGAGACUGCCGGUGUUAAACCGGAGGAAGGUGGGGAUGACGUCAAGUCCUCAUGGCCUUUAUGCCUAGGGCUGCAAACGUGCUACAAUGGCCGGUACAAAACGAAGCGAGACCGCGAGGUGGAGCAAAUCGUAAAAA